GCCUAUAGCUCAGUUGGUUAGAGCGCAGACCUGAUAAGUCUGAGGUCGAUGGUUCGAGUCCAUCUAGGCCC
rnacentral:tRNA from 1 species